CGAUUACGGCUCAGUAACACGUAGUCAACCUACCCUAAGGACGUGGACAACCACGGGAAACUGUGGCUAAUACUCGAUAAGAAAUUUGGCCUGGAACGGUAUCUUUCACAAAACCGGCUCGCCGUGAGACACGGGCCUUAGGAUGGGGCUGCGCUGAUUAUGCUAGAUGGCGGUGUAAAGGACCACCAUGGCUACGAUCAGUAUGGGCGAUGGAAGUCGGAGCCCAGAGUCGGCUACUGAGACAAGGGCCGAGCUUUACGAAGCUUAGCGGUCGCGAAAACUCGCCAAUGCACGAAAGUGUGUACUCCAAGUGUCAUUCUUACGGAUGACUGUCGCUCAGUCUUACCAGCUGAGAAAGGAAGGAGAGGGCAAGGCUGGUGCCAGCCGCCGCGGUAAAACCAGCUCUUCGAGUGGUCAGGACGAAUAUUGGGUCUAAAGCGCUCGUAGCCGGACAAGUAGGUUCUUGGUUAAAUCCGACAGCAUAACUGUUGGUCUGCUGGGAAUACCGCUAGUCUUGGGAGCGGGAGAGGACAGAGGUAGUCAUAGGGCAGGGGUGAAAUCCAGUGAUCCUAUGGAGACCACCGAUGGCGAAGGCAU
rnacentral:rRNA from 1 species